AAAACUAGCUUUGAAAGACGCAAACGUUUAAUGUACAGUUCACUUGCAUCUUGAAACAAUAUGAGUCCUGCUUAUAUUCUUUACUUUAUUGCGAUUAUAGUUGAAGGAUGUAGAGCUCCGUCUUGCUUUAGCAAGAUUAAAUUUGAUCCAUCCAAAUAAAUCUCAUCUCAAUGAGCAACAAAACAAGUAUUUUUAUAUGAUUUGAAUAAUAGUAGCAAAAGUUUUAAAAAUGUAACAUAUCAUUUUAUUUUAAACUAUUUGAUUAUAUUCAAAAUUUUUGAUUCAAAAUUAAAAACAGUCGAAUGCACUAAAUUUAAAGCGUUCGUAUAUAAAGGGUAUUGCGAUGUCGACUCAGUUUGUGUCGAUCUUAUCUCUUCUGUACCUUUAGUUUGGCUGUUGUUACACAGUCUUGGGUUGAGUGUCCAUUCCGUUCCCCGGCCCCUUGCAGCAAGGAUAAUGCCGCACAAAUAGCUAACAAAUUUUGCCUGCCAGCACACCGAGGACAACGGAGAGAAAACCACAAACAGCGGCAAAGGGAAACUUUUUAUCGCCGGCCAGGUUAACUUUUAAGCAGACCAACAAGGACUCCCGAUUUAAGAGGAGCGCAGGACAUUUGCCGGAGAUAAACAGAUUUAUUGUGCUUAAGGACGCACGUUAAACGGGGCGGAGGGACUCACACAGAAAGCCGAAAGACCAAGUACAAGGACAGCGAUAAGGACUGCGGAACUGCCAGGACUGUUUAUAGAUUUUCGGUGUCCCCAAUUAGCGCAAAAGAAAGGCGGGGGAAAUGGGGAGAAGCGUCGGAAAUUAGGAGAAUAAAAAGAGUACAGACACUGUGCUGCAGUGUCCUUCCCGUUCCAUACUUCGCACUCGUUUCAGGAUAAUAGAAAUGUCGUAGUAACACUAAGGAAAAAUAUGUGAUAAAAAGCAACUUGAAAUGAUACGAGUUAUUAAUGUGAACUAGUCGUUUAGUAACUAUGAUUAAAAAGGGAACUAAUUAA
rnacentral:sRNA from 1 species